UGCUGGAUAGCUCUGCUGGUAGACUGUGAGACUCUUAAUCACAUGGUUGUGGGUUUGAGCCCUGCGCUGGGCAA